rnacentral:lncRNA from 14 species
CCUUUUUCUUUUUUUUUUUUCCCUUGAUAUAUUCCCUUAAAAAAAAAAAGGAAAGAAAAAAAAGAAAGAAGAUGUUUUAAAAAUGCAAGCGGCUUGCCCAGCUGCACACACCCACCCUCGCCUCCCUCCCCCGGCUUGCGCACACCGCACGCUCGCACUCGCUCGCUCGACCGCGCUCGCUCGGGUGUCAAAACCCGACGGGCACCCAGCCUGGUGCGGGCACUGCCCCUGCCCCUUCCCCUGCCCCGAGCCCGCCCGGGGGCCGCCGCUUCCCGUUCCCAACCACCCCCCCCCCCCGGUCCUUCUUCCGCCUCCCACCGCAGCGCUUCUCCCCCUGCUCUUGGCGCUGAAGAUGGAGCUUCCCCCGCUUCCAAAUGCUCCACCAAAACCCACUUGCAGAGGGAGAACAAAGGAAAUCGCUAACUAUAAAGGCAUCAUUAAGUCUGAACAGCAACAGCAAGAUAGAGUGUGUGAUAUGACAACAUAUUUUAUUGCACAAAAGUAG